CCUUAGAUGUUCUGGGCCGCACGGUACGUACACGCUCCAUUUUCCUUUAUACCCCAUUCUCCAUUCUACAAAGGCAUAUAUGCUAACUUCUUACAGCGCGCUACACUGACGGAGCCAGCGAGUACUCCCUUGGCCGGAAGGCCCGGGUAAUCUUGUUAAACUCUGUCGUGCUGGGGAUAGAGCAUUGCAAUUAUUGCUCUUCAACGAGGAAUCCCUAGUAAGCGCAAGUCAUCAGCUUGCGUUGAUUACGUCCCUGCCCUUUGUACACACCGCCCGUCGCUACUACCGAUUGAAUGGCUCAGUGAGGCGUCCGGACUGGCCCAGGGAGGCGGGCAACUGCCACCCAGGGCCGGAAAGUUCUCCAAACUCGGUCAUUUAGAGGAAGUAAAAGUCGUAACAAGGUCUCCGUAGGUGAACCUGCGG
rnacentral:rRNA from 1 species